AGGAGCAACAGCCCCAGUGGCGGGGCAGCUCUGGAGCCCUGGAGUCAGCCCCCGCAGGAACUCCGGAGCUCUCCGUCUGCAGGGCCUGGAGGCUCCGGGCGGGG
rnacentral:pre_miRNA from 1 species